UUCCGUGCUACUGAUCUAUUUCUGCUUUCCUGAGACCAGUCUUGGACAAGAGACAGAAGAGACGAAAUAUGCUGCCAGAAUAGAGAGUUGCCGUGGAUGACGACUGAACUCCCUCCCUUCAGUGAAGCAGUUCAUCUUUCAAGACCUUCCAUAUUAUCAUGACGUAGAUUUAAGGUUCGUGGGGGGCGCCAAUCCAGACCUUCUCAUCCUUGAUUCUGAGGGCAAAAUCGACCAGAGAAUCGACUUGUCGGAAAUGGACAGGAGUCAGCUAAAUGAUUUGAUGUCUGAGCAUGGUUUUCAGCGAUCAGAGACGAAGAAGGAUGAAGACAAGGAGGAAUUAUAAAACUUUCAU